AUAACUUGAUGAGUGAAAGACAGUUUGUUGCUGAAUGUCAUUCCCUGUCUGUCAGGGUCUUGGGGUUGUUCUUAGCGUUUUGUCGCCAUGGGUUUGGUUUGGGUGGUUGUGCUUCUUCUUUUCCACCAGAGGGCGCUGUCAGGACGGUGGGCUGGAUUACGUCAGCGAGCACACCGGUUGCGAGUUGAGCUCAUCAGGAGCAGCGUCUUCAGGAGCAACCUGCCAGUCUUCGGCGCCUGAGUGUCUUCCCGUAUUGACCAUUCACCCGAUGCAGUGGAAGGAUUUCCCGUUGUGCUGAGUUUCUCGACUCACCUUCUCUGUGCAACAACAGGCUCCCCUCGGAUUCCUUGGCUGGCUGCUCCCUCGCUCCUCGUGCCUCGCUCCUCGUCCUGCUCCGCGUUUCCACCGUGGACACCGAGCCCACCUGUCCGCCCGCCUACACACACACACACACCCUGCCGCUACCCUGCAGUGAAUCUCUUCCACGCUUCAGCUGUCUACCCCUCAAUUCCCGAUCGCUCCCCCUCCCGAGACGCUCCUGUGGACCGGACCCGAAUCCCUGUCAUUCCUCGUUCACUGUUGUGUAAAAUAAACCUUGUAAAUAUUUGCACUCCA